rnacentral:rRNA from 1 species
UACGUAGGGUGCGAGCGUUAAUCGGAAUUACUGGGCGUAAAGCGUGCGCAGGCGGUUUUGCAAGCCGGAUGUGAAAACCCCGGGCUCAACCUGGGAAUGGCAUUCGGGACUGCAAGGCUGGAGUGCGGCAGAGGAGACUGGAAUUCCUGGUGUAGCAGUGAAAUGCGUAGAGAUGCGGAGGAACACCGAUGGCGAAGGCAGCCCCCUGGGCUAACACUGACGCUCAGGCACGAAAGCUGGGGGAGCAAACAGG